rnacentral:rRNA from 1 species
UGAUCAUGGCUCAGAUUGAACGCUGGCGGCAUGCCUAACACAUGCAAGUCGAACGCGAAAGCCUUCGGGUGAGUAGAGUGGCGGACGGGUGAGUAACGCGUGGGAAUCUGCCCUGCAGUGGGGAACAACCCGGGGAAACUCGGGCUAAUACCGCAUACGUCCUAUGGGAGAAAGGGGGCUUCGGCUCUCGCUGCAGGAUGAGCCCGCGUCCGAUUAGCUUGUUGGUAGGGUAACGGCCUACCAAGGCAACGAUCGGUAGCUGGUCUGAGAGGAUGACCAGCCACACUGGGACUGAGACACGGCCCAGACUCCUACGGGAGGCAGCAGUGGGGAAUUUUCCGCAAUGGGCGAAAGCCUGACGGAGCAACGCCGCGUGAGGGAUGAAGGCCUCUGGGCUGUAAACCUCUUUUCUCAAGGAAGAAGAACUGAC